rnacentral:sRNA from 1 species
ACCCGGUAGGUAAGGCUACCGUAGGGAUAUGGAUCGCUGCCGCAACAGAAUGGAGACAUUCUUCGCAGGUCUGAACAGGCUUCGUCGAACAACAAGGCGAAGCAUAAUGCGAUUUCACCGCCCUACGAUGCUAAAGCUCAAACGGUGG